GCCCGGAUAGCUCAGUGGGUAGAGCUGGCGACCCAUGCUUGCUGCAGCGGCCUGGGUUCGAAUCCGACCUGCGGCCC